AUGCACCUUGAAUAUCUCAUCCUUGCUGUCUUCCUGAGGCAACCACUGGGCACCAUGGGGCAGACCACCAUCAUCCAUCAAGAAGGAGAAGUCACAGUACAGGAGAGAGACACCUUCCAGACCACGUGCACAUAUCAGACCUCCAACUUCCAAGGCUUGCUCUGGUACCAGCAGAGGACAGGACCAGGUCUCCAGCUGGUAUCAUAUCAGGCAGUAGCUGGCUCCAAGCGCAGCGGCCGUUUCACCACCUUGCUGAACACCACGGGGAAAUACAGCCUCCUGCAGCUGGAGGAAGUUGAGGUCUCUGACAGUGCCUUGUACCUCUGUGCUGUGCAAGACACCCUGAAUCCUGGCUGA